GGGUAAGCCGACCCCUAAGGCGAGGCCGAAAGGCGUAGUCGAUGGGAACCAGGUUAAUAUUCCUGGGCCAGCCAGUAGUGACGGAUCGUGAAGGUUGUUCACCCUUAUUGGAUUGGGUGGGCCGCUAAUCGGUUCCUGGAAAUAGCUCUGGCAUAAGAUCGUACCCUAAACCGACACAGGUGGACUGGUAGAGAAUACCAAGGCGCUUGAGAGAACUCGGGUGAAGGAACUAGGCAAAAUGGCACCGUAACUUCGGGAGAAGGUGCGCCGGUGAGGGUGAAGGACUUGCUCCGUAAGCCCAUGCCGGUCGAAGAUACCAGGCCGCUGCGACUGUUUAUUAAAAACACAGCACUCUGCAAACACGAAAGUGGACGUAUAGGGUGUGACGCCUGCCCGGUGCCGGAAGGUUAAUUGAUGGGGUUAGCUAACGCGAAGCUCUUGAUCGAAGCCCCGGUAAACGGCGGCCGU
rnacentral:rRNA from 1 species